GAUGAACGCUGGCGGCGUGCCUAAUACAUGCAAGUCGAGCGAAUGGAUUAAGAGCUUGCUCUUAUGAAGUUAGCGGCGGACGGGUGAGUAACACGUGGGUAACCUGCCCAUAAGACUGGGAUAACUCCGGGAAACCGGGGCUAAUACCGGAUAACAUUUUGAACCGCAUGGUUCGAAAUUGAAAGGCGGCUUCGGCUGUCACUUAUGGAUGGACCCGCGUCGCAUUAGCUAGGUGGUGAGGUAACGGCUCGCCAAGGCAACGAUGCGUAGCCGACCUGAGAGGGGGAUCGGCCACACUGGGACUGAGACACGGCCCAGAGUCCUACGGGAGGCAGCAGUAGGGAAUCUUCCGCAAUGGACGAAAGUCUGACGGAGCAACGCCGCGUGAGUGAUGAAGGCUUUCGGGUCGUAAAACUCUGUUGUUAGGGAAGAACAAGUGCUAGUUGAAUAAGCUGGCACCUUGACGGUACCUAACCAGAAAGCCACGGCUAACUACGUGCCAGCCGCCGCGGUAA
rnacentral:rRNA from 1 species